rnacentral:lncRNA from 1 species
AUGAUGUGUGCUCAUUGUCAUUUUCAAAAAUACAUACGUGGAUCAAAAAGAGUGUUAAACACACAUAGAAGAUACGGAGACCAAAGAAGUUGAUUGGAGGCCAAGUCCAAGUAUUCCUAACAUCCUCCACGAGGCCACCACGUCACUUUUGGUUCAAGGAAAGAAAGAGAUUAAAUCCAACAUGUUUUGGGGCUGGAUUCGGAUUGCAGCACUGUGCCAACUUGCGAUGAC